AUAGAUAUAUAUACACACACAUACAUCCACACGUAUCAAGGGCAGGCCCGAGAAGCCGCAGUUGUUGUGUGUGUGUGUGUGUGUGUGUGUGUGUGUGUGU